GACGAACGCUGGCGGCGUGCCUAAUACAUGCAAGUAGAACGCUGAAGCUUGGUGCUUGCCCCGAGCGGAUGAGUUGCGAACGGGUGAGUAACGCGUAGGUAACCUGCCUGGUAGCGGGGGAUAACUAUUGGAAACGAUAGCUAAUACCGCAUAACAGUAGAUAUCGCAUGAUAGCUACUUGAAAGGUGCAAAUGCACCACUACCAGAUGAACCUGCGUUGUAUUAGCUAGUUGGUGAGGUAACGGCUCACCAAGGCAACGAUACAUAGCCGACCUGAGAGGGUGAUCGGCCACACUGGGACUGAGACACGGCCCAGACUCCUACGGGAGGCAGCAGUAGGGAAUCUUCGGCAAUGGACGGAAGUCUGACCGAGCAACGCCGCGUGAGUGAAGAAGGUUUUCGGAUCGUAAAGCUCUGUUGUAAGAGAAGAACGAGUGUGAGAGUGGAAAGUUCACACUGUGACGGUAUCUUACCAGAAAGGGACGGCUAACUACGUG
rnacentral:rRNA from 1 species